rnacentral:rRNA from 1 species
CUUUCCUUCGGGACAGAGGAGACAGGUGGUGCAUGGUUGUCGUCAGCUCGUGUCGUGAGAUGUUGGGUUAAGUCCCGCAACGAGCGCAACCCUUAUGCUUAGUUGCCAGCAGGUCAAGCUGGGCACUCUAAGCAGACUGCCGGUGACAAACCGGAGGAAGGUGGGGAUGACGUCAAAUCAUCAUGCCCCUUAUGACCUGGGCUACACACGUACUACAAUGGCCGGUACAACGGGAAGCGAAGCCGCGAGGUGGAGCCAAUCCUAGAAAAGCCGGUCUCAGUUCGGAUUGUAGGCUGCAACUCGCCUACAUGAAGUCGGAAUUGCUAGUAAUCGCGGAUCAGCAUGCCGCGGUGAAUACGUUCCCG